AAUAAGUGCAGUUUUACACUGUUCAUCUCCAACGUUUGACCGUUCGUUUUAUUUGAAAAUAUUUUGUGAUUAGUAUUUUUUUUUGUCAUUAAAUGAUAAAAUAUAAAUAAUACUUUAUGCGUAACUAUUUUUUUUAACUUUUUAUAAAUUUUUCAAAUAAGACGGACGGUCAAACGUUGGACACGGAUAUACACGACUGUGUUUAUU
rfam:Oryza barthii chromosome 6, whole genome shotgun sequence.